rnacentral:misc_RNA from 1 species
CAGGCCUCCCUCUGCUUGGUUCUAAUCGUGGGUAUGAGUGAGGGGUGAUGCUUGAUGGCUUCGAUGCCAUUGGUUGGAACAUGUUUAAGCAUCAGGCUUCCCUCAUGCCCACGAUAGUCUGCAUGACUGGGUAUGAGUUUAGGACGUUGCUUGAUUGUUUUGAUGCUUGUGUUGGGACAUGAUUCGGCAACGUACUUGAUGAAGUGCCUGUGAAUGGGGACUUGUCCUGCGCCAACAAUGAGGGGGAUGCUAAGAGCUGGAAGGCAAGGGGGUACAAACACCAGUCAGCCUUUGUCCUGAUUGCUGAGUGUUAUGUGCUUGACGUCCAAGGCUUGAUGUUGACCCUCUAAUUGGAAACUUUUGUUUUCGUGCGGUGCAUUCUGGGGGCUGUUUUGGCUUUUGGUUGCUUGCUUGGGCUUUAUGCUAGGCGGGUGGCUAAC